rnacentral:rRNA from 1 species
CCCUUAGAUGUUCUGGGCCGCACGCGUGCUACACUGAUGCAUUCAACGAGUCUAAAACCUGGUCUGAUAGGGCUGGGUAAUCUUUUGAAAGUGCAUCGUGAUUGGGAUAGAUGAUUGCAAUUCUUCAUCUUCAACGAGGAAUGCCUAGUAAACGCAAGUCAUCAGCUUGCAUUGAUUACGUCCCUGCCCUUUGUACACACCGCCCGUCGCUCCUACCGAUUGAAUGAUCCGAUGAAUACCAUGGAUUGAGAGUACGAAUAGGUUCGCUUAUUUCUGCUGCUCGAGAAGUGGAGUAAAUCUGAUCAUUUAGAGGAAGGAGAAGUCGUAACA